AGCGAACGCUGGCGGCAGGCCUAACACAUGCAAGUCGAACGGAUCCUUCGGGAUUAGUGGCGGACGGGUGAGUAACACGUGGGAACGUGCCAUUUGGUUCGGAACAACUCAGGGGAACUUGAGCUAAUACCGGAUGUGCCCUUCGGGGGAAAGAUUUAUCGCCAUUGGAGCGGCCCGCGUCUGAUUAGCUAGUUGGUGAGGUAAAGGCUCACCAAGGCGACGAUCAGUAGCUGGCCUGAGAGGAUGAUCAGCCACAUUGGGACUGAGAAACGGCCCAAACUCCUACGGGAGGCAGCAGUGGGGAAUCUUGCGCAAUGGGCGAAAGCCUGACGCAGCCAGGCCGCGUGAAUGAUGAAGGUCUUAGGAUUGUAAAAUUCUUUCACCGGGGACGAGAAUGACGGUACCCGGAGAAGAGGCCCCGGCUAACUUCGUGCCAGCCGCCGCCGUAA
rnacentral:rRNA from 1 species